rnacentral:rRNA from 1 species
UUUAAAAAGCUUCAAACUGGGAUUAGAUACCCCACUAUGCCCAGCCUCAAACUAUGACUCAAUACAAAACACUUCCGCCGGGGAACUACGAGCUCCAGCUUAAAACCCAAAGGACUUGGCGGUGCCCCACCCACCUAGAGGAGCCUGUUCUAUAAUCGAUAACCCCCGCUUAACCUCACCACUUCUUGCCAAUACCGCCUAUAUACCACCGUCGCCAGCCCACCCCGUGAGGGAAUAAGUAGGCACAAUGAUCACCACCAAAACGUCAGGUCAAGGUGUAGCGUAUGAAGUGGAAAGAAAUGGGCUACAUUCUCUAAUCUAGAGCACACGAAAAAUCAUAAGAAAUUAGAUUGGAAGGAGGAUUUAGUAGUAAAAAGAAACAAUAGUGUUCUUUUUAAAUUGGCCCUGGGGCGCGCACACACCGCCCGUCACCCUCUGCAGUCAAAAA